GAGUUUGAUCCUGGCUCAGGACGAACGCUGGCGGCGUGCUUAACACAUGCAAGUCGAACGGAAAGGCUCCUGCUUGCAGGGGUACUCGAGUGGCGAACGGGUGAGUAACACGUGGGUGAUCUGCCUUGUACUCUGGGAUAAGCUUGGGAAACUGGGUCUAAUACCGGAUAAUAGCCGCCUUUAGUGUGGUGGUUGGAAAGUUUUUUCGGUGCAAGAUGAGCUCGCGGCCUAUCAGCUUGUUGGUGGGGUAAUGGCCUACCAAGGCGUCGACGGGUAGCCGGCCUGAGAGGGUGUACGGCCACAUUGGGACUGAGAUACGGCCCAGACUCCUACGGGAGGCAGCAGUGGGGAAUAUUGCACAAUGGGCGGAAGCCUGAUGCAGCGACGCCGCGUGGGGGAUGACGGCCUUCGGGUUGUAAACUCCUUUCGACAGGGACGAAGCUUUUUGUGACGGUACCUGUAUAAGAAGCACCGGCUAACUACGUGCCAGCAGCCGCGGUAAUACGUAGGGUGCGAGCGUUGUCCGGAAUUACUGGGCGUAAAGAGCUCGUAGGUGGUUUGUCGCGUCGUCUGUGAAAUCCGGGGGCUUAACUCCGGGCGUGCAGGCGAUACGGGCAUAACUUGAGUGCUGUAGGGGAGACUGGAAUUCCUGGUGUAGCGGUGAAAUGCGCAGAUAUCAGGAGGAACACCGAUGGCGAAGGCAGGUCUCUGGGCAGUAACUGACGCUGAGGAGCGAAAGCAUGGGUAGCGAACAGGAUUAGAUACCCUGGUAGUCCAUGCCGUAAACGGUGGGCGCUAGGUGUAGGGGGCUUCCACGUCUUCUGUGCCGUAGCUAACGCAUUAAGCGCCCCGCCUGGGGAGUACGGCCGCAAGGCUAAAACUCAAAGGAAUUGACGG
rnacentral:rRNA from 1 species